rnacentral:rRNA from 1 species
AGUGAACGCUGGCGGCGUGGUUCAGACAUGCAAGUCGAGCGCGAUUCGUCGAUCUGAUCCUUCGGGUGAGGUGAAACGAUGAAAGCGGCGAACGGGUGAGUAACACGUGAGCAACCUGCCCUAAAGUUCGGGAUAGCCCGCCGAAAGGUGGAUUAAUACCGGAUGUGGUCCCUGGUCGCAUGGCCGGGGCACUAAAGCUUGUAAUGGCGCUUUAGGAGGGGCUCGCGUCCUAUCAGCUUGUUGGUGAGGUAAUGGCUCACCAAGGCUUAGACGGGUAGCUGUUCUGAGAGGAUGAUCAGCCACACUGGAACUGAGACACGGUCCAGACAUCUACGGGUGGCAGCAGUUUCGAAUCAUUCACAAUGGGGGAAACCCUGAUGGUGCAACGCCGCGUGGGGGAUGAAGGUCUUCGGAUUGUAAACCCCUGUCACCAAGGACUAAACGCACGGCUCAUACCCGUGCCUGAAUUAACUUGGAGAGGAAGCAGUGGCUAACUCCGUGCCAGCAGCCGCGGUAAUACGGAGACUGCAAGCGUUACUCGGAUUUACUGGGCGUAAAGGGUCCGUAGGCGGCCAUGUGUGUCGGGUGUGAAAUCCUGCAGCUUAACUGUAGAAUUGCGCCCGAAACUACAUGGCUAGAGUAUCGGAGAGGUGAGUGGAAUUCCAGGUGUAGCGGUGAAAUGCGUAGAUAUCUGGAGGAACACCACCGGCGA